UCACUGUCAGAGUACCUCACUUCCCAGUU
rnacentral:piRNA from 1 species